rnacentral:rRNA from 1 species
UACGGAGGAUGCAAGCGUUAUCCGGAUUUAUUGGGUUUAAAUGGUGCGCAGGUUGUUUGAUAAGUCAGUGGUGAAAGUCUGUCGCUUAACGGUAGGAUUGCCAUUGAUACUGUUGGACUUGAAUAUGGAUUAGGUAGGCGGAAUGUGUAGUGUAGCGGUGAAAUGCAUAGAUAUUACACAGAACACCGAUUGCGAAGGCAGCUUACUAAUCCAUCAUUGACGCUGAGGCACGAAAGCGUGGGGAUCAAACAGGA